GGGCGCGUAGCUCAACUGGCAGAGCAACUGACUCUUAAUCAGUAGGUUGUAGGUUCGAUUCCUACCGCGCUCACCA
rnacentral:tRNA from 4 species